UACGUAGGGCGCAAGCGUUUGUCCGGAAUUAUUGGGCGUAAAGAGCUCGUAGGCGGCUGUUCAAGUCGAUUGUGAAAACUCGGAGCUCAACUCCGAGCCUGCGUUCGAUACUGGACGGCUAGAGUCUGGUAGGGGGACCUGGAAUUCCCGGUGUAGCGGUGAAAUGCGCAGAUAUCGGGAAGAACACCCGUGGCGAAGGCGGUUCUCUGGGACGGUACUGACGCUGAGACGCGAAAGCGUGGGGAGCGAACAG
rnacentral:rRNA from 1 species